rnacentral:lncRNA from 1 species
CUGGACCAAUUACAGACCCAGAGGUCCUAAGGAGUUAUUGACUAGUUCUAAAUAUUUGAUUGGGUGUAACCAGCUGCGUGUUUGGCAAAGGAUCCAGACUCAGAUGUCCGUCCCUCUGUUUGUGUUUGGCGGCGGAGCUGUCUGGGAUUGCGAUCCUCUUUGAAGUUCCUUACUCCGCUUCGCUCCAUUUCCCAAUUCCCAUCCCUUACACAUCUUGUUUUUUGUUUGUUCCUCAUUUUCGGCCCCAUCGCUAUUGGUUUGGGGCGGGCUCCCGAGCCCUGCAGAAAGGCUACUUUCACACCUGCAGAAUAUCACAUUGCAUGAUGGUAUUCCCUUCUCUCUCACCUUCCAUUCCCGGGGGCUUGGGAAACUGUAAUUCUAUCUGCCUUCUCUCCGCCUGCCUUUGCGCCCCGCCAUGAGAUUGUCUGCCUGUUUCCUCCUCACCUUCCGCUGACCCCAAAGACGGUUGUACCUGGGAGGUGGCGGCCUUGGCCCAGAGAAGGAACUGGAAGAACUCAGAUUCAUCCCCGUCCCAACAUUAUCAGUUUCCCGGAGGCCUUCCCAGACGGAGUCAAAGAAUUCAAGAUGUCUUCUGUCAUGGAGUUUUGUGUCUUAAGGUUCCUAGACUUGGGUUCCCAGACUCAGUCUCAUGAGUUUCAAGAAAGAAGACAUUUCAGAGAACAUCUAGUCCAGGAUUCUUAACUUGGGGCUGAUGAACUUAAAAAAAAAUUAUUAACUGCAUUUCAAAAUGAUUCAUUUCUUUUGAACUCUUAUAUAUUUUAUUUUAAGCAUUUAGAAAUGUUCUUCUGAUAAUGGGUCCAUAGACUUCACCACAUUGCCCAAGGGAUCUGGUCCACGAUGCUAGGAAGGUUAAGAAUCUUUAAUCUAGUCCAACUCUCCCAUUUUAUUGAGGAAAACUGAGGUCAGAGGAGGAGGGUUAGAUAAUUUGUCUGAAGCCAAAUAGGUAUUAAGCAUAAGGUUAGAAGAAUCUCCCCAAAGUUUUCCUUGUUUCCAAAGAAUGUUUCUUUAAAUGUUGAUUCAACUUGUGGAGGUAUUCCAGUGGCUUAACCUAAGAUAUAGGUUGGUUAGUUGGUUUUUCUGUUUAUUUUUGCCUCUAUUGCCACAUUAGGACUCUGUGCAAAGGUUAGAGAUGCCAUUAUCCCCACCCAUUUGGUGUUAUUCUCUACUGUCAAGAGGGAAGGACUAUGAAGUUCCUUUCUAGCCCUAUUUAAUUAUCAAGACAUUUUCUAAAUGUAUAAUCUACAACCCACAUAAUGGUUAUACAAAAUACUGGCUUUGGAGUAAGAGGACAAUUACUUCCCACCUCUGAUACCUACUUGUUGUGUGACCUUCGGCAUGUCCCCUACAACCUCUUUAGGACCCAUUUUCUUUAUCUCUAAAGUGAAAGGGUUGGAUUAGAUCAUCUAUAGGUCAUCACUGAGGCACAGACAGUUUGUGGUUGUAUAUCUAAUAUCAGGCACAGCAAACGGCUCAUUUAGGCACAUUUAGUAAAUAUUGGAACUAGAAUUCAAACCCAGGAUCCUCAUGGAUUUGGGUCCAAUUUUUUUCCUUCUACAUUAAUUGAACUAAAUCUCAACAAGCUAAUAACCAAAUAUGAUUUCUUUUCUUUUUUAGUGGUCUAAAUAUAUGAAUAGUUUUAUUUUAUUUUUAUUAUAAAGAUAUUUUAUUUUAUCAAUUAUAUGUGAUAACAAAUUUCCACAUAAGUUUUCUGAAGUUAUAUAAUUCAAAUAGUUUCUCUCCCCACCCCCCUUUCCUCCUUCUGUCCCAGAGCUGGCAAGCAAUUCAAUCUGGGUUUUGCAUGUAUCAUAUUGCAAAACAUAUUUCCACAUUGUUCAUUUUUGUAAGAGAAUAAUCAUAUAAAACCAAAAUCCCCAAUAAAACCCCAAAUAAACUAAAGUGAAAAAUUGUA